AUGGCCCGGCCCAGCCGCUCGGAAGUUCGCGGAGCCUGCGAGUGGCGCAGAGCGCUUGGUGGCCGCGGUGGGCGAGCUCGGGAGGCGAGGGCGGGGCCGGGGCGGGGCCGGGGCUCCCGGGGCGGGCCGCUGGGGGCGGGAGCCCAGGGAGUGCCCCGCCCUUGCCCACUGCUGGCUGGCGCGUUGGGGGUGGGAUCCCCGCUUCCCCGCGCCGUCCCUCGUACUCCGAGGACUCCAACCUGUUAGGUGAGUCCCUUCCCGGGGAGGGGCGCUGGGGGCGGCGAGGCGCUAGUUGCGCGCGCGCAUGCGCCUCCCGGGACACCGGGGCUGCGCGUCUCCCAGGAGGAGCCGACGCCCCUCCCUCAACCGGCGGGAAAACUGAGGCCGCGGAGGGGACGCGCUUACCCAAGUCCCACGGCGAGGUGGGACGAGGAAGGGGUGGGACCCCGGCCCCCAGACUCCCGGGCGCCUUUCCAGCAAGCCCAGCGUACUCUGCGUGUCGUGGGCCACUUUGGGUCUCACUGUCACGCGUGGGUGAGUGUCGCGGCGGUGUGCGCCUCAGGCCGGGCAGCGCCCGCGCCGGCGUAUCCGCGCCUCGGCGAGUCUGCGAACGGCACGUGUCUGCAGCCGCGCGUGUGUCCGCAAGUGGGUGUGCGCGCCGUGCCGCCCGGAAAGCGGGAGGCCCUGCGGGCGUGCGCGGGACCUGUUGUCAGCAGGCCUGGCAGAUGGGAACUCAGCUCCGGAAUUAAUUGCCUGUUUGUCUCCGGCUGGGAGGUCGCCCCCCUUCCCUGGCGACCAGUUGCUCCGGCCCUAGCGGGCCCCCAAUGUUGCCGGCAUCUGCGGCCGCAGGCGGCUUCGGGGACAGGCUCCGGGUCAGCCCCGAAGCCUGGGUCCCGCCGGGCGGGCUCCCCGGGAUGUGAGCGCCACCUGCCGGCCGCCGCGCGCACGACCCCGAGGCUGGGGAGACCCGGCGCCGCGCGUCCCAGGCCUGGAGGCGCACUCCGAAACUCCGGAGGUUGAGAUCCCGGCGGAGACCCAGACACGCGACUGCGGCGCCUACCUCUGGAGAAAGAAAACGGGCGUCAGCCCAUAUCCGUAUCUGGGUACCCAGGACAACACCCCCACCCCACCCCACACUGCGGGCAGACAGCCCCGCCCCCCGCCGCUCCACCGCUCCGGGACACACGCCCUCUAUAUCCCGUCCCCCCACCCACACGCGCGACCCAGAGCUCGCAGCGAUCGGGAGCCCGGGUCCUGCGCCCAUGGCCAGCCACACCCGCAACUUCAGCGCUUCCGCUGCCGCGGCGCUUUGGGAAGCACAAGCUCACAUCCCAUAUCCGCAGAGCACCGGGUGCACGAUGGGGCUUGAGUCACCUCGCAGGCUCAGCAACAGUCAGGAGCCCCUGACCCCCUACUUCGCCCAUCCUAGCAAGGCGCAGGCAUCACCAUAAACGCUGGAAUUGCUGACCACAUGGCUGAUCAUGACCACCUGCCCUGUACCCACCCAGACUUCCGGUCUGGUGGAAGAGCUGCCCCCUCCCUGAGUCCACCAUCACUCCUGGCCUGGGAUCAGGGCAAGUUAUAAAGGGGGCCAGAGUCCCCCCUUUCUCCCUGUCACUCUCCAGGAGGACACUCUGGAGACUACCCGCCCUCAUCCCUCCCCCACAGGAAGGGGACUGGAGAGGCUGUCCUGGCUCCUUUUCCCCCAUCCUGUCUCAUCCAAGACCCUGAGCCUGGGGGGUUGGGCUCCCUUCAGCGGACCAAGGGCUUCUGGGAGGAGGCCACCCGCCAUGUCAGCGGAUUGAUUAAAGUCAUUGUGAGGA